UCCCAGACUCCUACGGGAGGCAGCAGUGGGGAAUAUUGCACAAUGGGGGAAACCCUGAUGCAGCGACGCCGCGUGAGUGAAGAAGUAUUUCGGUAUGUAAAGCCCUAUCGGCAGGGAAGAAGGAGGACGGUACCUGACUAAGAAGCCCCGGCUAACUACGUGCCAGCAGCCGCGGUAAUACGUAGGGGGCAAGCGUUGUCCGGAUUUACUGGGUGUAAAGGGUGCGUAGGCGGCCCUGCAAGUCAGAAGUGGAAUCCAUGGGCUUAACCCGUGAACUGCUUUUGAAACUGUAGGGCUUGAGUGAAGUAGAGGCAGGCGGAAUUCCCGGUGUAGCGGUGAAAUGCGUAGAGAUCGGGAGGAACACCAGUGGCGAAGGCGGCCUGCUGGACGACAACUGACGGUGAGGCGCGAAAGCGUGGGGAGCAAACAGGAUUAGAUACCCUAGUA
rnacentral:rRNA from 1 species